AUGAAGGAUGUUAGAGCCUGGGAUGCUGAGGCAGGAUAAUUGUUAGUUACCUGGAAAAGUCUACUACCUAAAAGCACUGUUCAAAGAAAUGGACCAUAAUUGCAACAAAACAUUUAGAACAGGAUUUUAAAGUUCCAAUUCAAGCCAAAUAAAAUGAAAAGUAUGGAAAUAAACAUUCAAGCCACAGCACGAGCUAAUUUGUCCAUUCUAGAACCUGCUUCGGCAAUUUUCUUGGCAGCAUUAAUGACAUCAGAUGUAUUUUUCAAUGGGCCUUUGCCUCUGAAACAACAUAUACAACAUAAUUAGAAAUCCACUUAAUGACGGGAAAGAGACCAACCUACCAUAUCCUUUGUCCAGGAGUCUAGUGUUGUAUUUUAUUUGGCACUGGCCACAUUAGUUGAAUUUUGAAUAUUUUCCUGCUUAACUCCAGUUUCUAUAUUAGUAGUCGUUUUUGGAAAUAUUUUCCCAUAUUUUUAUGUGCAUGUUCACAUUUUAUCUUUUACAUUAAGUUCUAUAUUUCUCAACAAUGGCCAGUUAUAAAAGAUCAUCACAAGAGAAAUGAAAAUUUUAUAGUUGCUUACCGUGUACCAAAAGCUGUUGUACAGACUACCUCAUUCUGACUUUAUAACAACUCUACAAA
rnacentral:antisense_RNA from 1 species